GGAAUAUAAGCACACGUCUCUUAAUUUUUAACUAAAAAAACUAAGAACCGGUUCUUAACUAAGAGUUUUAAGAGCCGGUUCUUAACUUUUUUAGUUAAAAGUUAAGAGACGGAUUCUUAUAUUCC
rfam:Brassica napus, WGS project CCCW01000000 data, contig: 6154